ensembl:lncRNA
AUGAAGUGGAGCACGCAAAACUGCCAAACAGUGCUCUUCACAUGAUUGCAGUAUGCUUUGUACCAAACUACAUUGGGUUAGAGCAAAGGUCACAUCAGUAUAAUCACCCAGUGGUCACAACUAUGUUACAGCCUUAAAAUCCACCUCUUGGGAAAUUUGACUAGAAGUAUUAAAUAACAAUAUACUUUAUAUACUUGAAGCGCUUCAUAUUGCCCAAGAUCUAUACAAAAUUAACUAAUAAAGGGGAACUAAUUAAAAGGAGACGUUAAAUGGUAUUUAAACCCUGACUUGCAGCAAAACAACGAUGCACUUACCCUGUUCAAACUAACACACAGAAAGGGCUUGAUGGAUUUCUUGCCAUGUAAAACUAGCACGAAUGAGAACAGAUGAGUUAUAUAAAUUUAAAUACCCUAAGCUGAAUGCAAGAGUGUUGAGAGGCAUGUGGCAGUCCUCCCAGUAAGGCCACUCAGCACCUACAACACCAUUUUCCACCAAGGGCUCAGAACACUGGGCACAGCCCUCGCUCCUUCUUGCCUCUCGAAUGGAGCCAUAUCCACACCUGCUGUAUCUGAAUAUCAAGAAUCUGCACGAGGACAGCCUAACUUUCAGUAUAACUUGCUGAGCCCUCAUCUCACAUGCCAAGUUUCAUCCCAGAAUGAAAUUUUAACAGUCAAGUUCCAAACCCACAGCAACAGGGGCUCAGAGUUGAACUGCUGACAAGCCCAUAAGGAUAGUAGUGCACAUGGCGCCAACAACAGACAAAAUUGCCCCAUUUUAUAGCAUGCAGGAAGGCUGGAAUUCAGCUGUUAUCAGGAGCAAUAAUAAACUUCUGCUGGUGACUCAGGCUCUCAGCCUCAGAUUUACAUUCCCUCUGUCACUAAGAGUUUUUAAGUUAAACAAUUUUAAAUGAAAAUGCAAUAAACAGCAUUUAUAUUCUGAUGGCAUUUGUCCCAAUGCUUUUCAGCUACAACGAUGGCAUAGGCUUUCUCUUGCUCCCCAUCUCCUCCUCCUUUUGCCACAGGAGCCACGGAGGGAUGGAUCCUUGGAUUUCAUGCAUGCUGCAUGAAACCCAAGGAACCCAUUCCAUCUUCAAGCCAGGUUCAGUUACAAGAUUACACAGAGGGGAAAAGCAGCACGUGAUGCCAAGAACAGAGGUUUUUUUUUUUUUUUCCCUUUUUUUCUCUCCUCCUCCUCCAGAAUUCUUCUUGAAGCACUCACAAGCCACCUCAAGGAAAAGAAAGCUGCAGCUUUACCUUGUAUCUCAGCCCUUCGAUGUUUCCUCCCACUUACAACUGAAGGUCAGAUAUGGAAAAACUAGAGAAAGAAAGAAAGACAGAAAGACAGAAAGAAAGAAAGAAAGAAAGGAUGCUGGCUCGUUAUGUAACAGCACUUGAAAUAAAACAUCUGGUCUUGAGGACACCUGAGUGACACAUGGAGACCAGCCAUCCAGAAACUGUCUCCUGCCCAACUUCCCACUCCUAACUUUCCUUUCCUCCUGACAACUAUCCUUCACUCCCUUAAGGAUUCCAAUUACAUCAGUAACUGAUAAGUUUAAAUUUAUCUGCCCAAUUUCUAUGUUUUAUUUUUCCAAUCCAUCUCUCAGGAACAGCUUUUAACACAUUUGGAUUUUUUUUUUCCUGUCAUAAAAUAUUCUAUUUAUUUCCCAGCAGCUGGUGUCAAAAAAAGUUGUUGUUCUCUUUAAAUAUUACUCUUAAAUAAAUAAAAUCUGUUUUCAUAUAAUGUAGAAUUAGUUUUGCCUGCUGUGAGCUUGUGGCAUUAUGAAGUGAUCAUUUUUUUUCAUGCAUUAUUCAGAAGGAGGGUAAAAAAAAGGAAAGGCAAAGAUGACGGACAAUAGCGUGCCAUUCGGUUUGUAUAAAUGCAGCAGCCGUACUAAUAGUUCACUACGUGCAGCACAGACAAAACACUUUCUCUUUGUCAAACGUGGCCACUAACCUUAAUUUAGUAUUUCAGAGAGAGGUAGUGAAAGAUUCAUUUCUUCCCUCGCUGUCCCCCUAUGACUUAUCUAGUGGGGCAGAUAAUAGACAUGUCUUAUUUUGCUAGCAAGAUAUCAGUGUUUUAGACAAGAAGUAUUUGGGAUGCUUACGCUCAGUAUUACAGCUCAGCUGGCCCUUGAUGGCCUUUAAGUCUUUUUUAUAUUUUAUUUUUAACAACCUAUUCUUUGUUUAAACCUCUGGUUUGACAGUGUCUCUCUGUCUUUCAUGAAAAACUAUUAGAAUUGUUAACAUUUCCUCUGGAGUCUUCAUAUUACCCUGUCUUUCAGAACGGCUGUAACUGCAUAGCUGUAAUUAUUCUCACUUUGAAUUCUGACUGUCGUAUUUGGAAGGGGAUGAAGGGUGGGGAUUUUAAUAAAUCACUCAGGCUCCCCAAGGCACAUGGUAUCACACCAAAUCUAAUAUGAACUUUUAAGGUGGAGGGGCUUACGGACUGAAUUUACACAUGAGCUGCUAAGACAUAUAAUGCCGCUUUCAUCAAGAAAAAUGAGAAAAUAGUACUAAAUUUGAGAGUGAAAAAAAUACAGAAAGCUAAAACAAACAAACAAACAAAAGCUAUUUCAAAUGGUUUAUCAUUAAGCACUGCCUUGUAAAGCAAUCUUCUCCCGAAAGAGUUUCAGAUCAUGGCUGCUACGUGAAGCAACACUCCAGUUACCUUGCUCAGUUGUCAAGCUGAGAGUGGGCUUGGGACUCAUGAAUUUUAUCUCUCAUUACAACACUGAAAUCACUUAAAUUCGGUUACAACUUCUCCAACCCAUACAUUAUGGUAAUUAAAUUAUUUGUAUCAUACUAAUGCCCAAAGGGCCAGAUAAAAAACAAAAACAAACAAACAAACCAACCAACCAAUCCUUUGCUCUACACAGGAAGAAAGGGUUGCAACCCUAAAUAUUUUCACAGGGAAUAACAUUAACUUGCCACACAAUGUCCACUAGAAAUAUUGGUCCUCACUUUGUUGUAGUUCAAGCAGGAAGAAGUUUAAGUGUUUUGAUAGCAAGUAGGCACCUUUUGAGGGAGGAGACUUCUUUUUUUUUUAAAUAAUGUUUAAGUCAGAGUUAAUUUCCCUCAGAAUAAAAAGAAAACAGAUCCAAAUGAAAAUCUUAGCCCUGGACAUGAGUCCUAUUUUAUUUUUUUUUUCCUUAACGGCUUCAUAAAAAGAAUGUUUCACACAACAAAGGUAUAUUGAUCACAAAGUCCGUCCAUAAUAAAGCACAAACAUGCCCGUUGUCAAUUAAAAGCAAGAUUAGGAUGAAGUGUAGUCACCAGUGUCCCGAAUUCCAUUAUCCCAUAGCUACAAGCCAUUAGUCUUUUUUCAAAUUUAAUUUUUUAAUUAGGUCACUCUUGUACACUCUAAUUCUUUUUUUUUUCCCUCCUUUUUUCCCCUUAAUCCAUUACAGCCAAAUUUUGGUGAAUUCUACAUGCUCUAGGGACAAAAUAAAACCCACAUAUUCCUUUUACUUGCAAUUAAAAUAUAACUACACACACACCUCUCAUCCAUAUCUUACAAUGUUCUAUAUGCUAGACAGAAGCAACUGCAGUCACCCAUACAUCUUGCUUGUAGAACCCUUCAACAUUUGUCAUCUGGAAACUAAUAUAAAAGGCAGAUGUUUCAGGCUUACUAGACAAAACAGGGUUUGUUUAAUGUGCAAAAUAUCUUAAGAGCUCAUAGGGAAAAAAAGAAAUCAUGUCUUGAGCUAUCAGAAAGAAACACUGAGAUGUUUAUAGGAGUCAUCAACCUCCCACAUCCACAGCAGCACAGCUUCUUCAUUGCUAUCUCAUCAUACCUACAGUUCUGCUAUACUUUGAGGAUUUCCCCUCUAGGUUCAGCCUGUCAACUUUAAAAAAUGAAAGGAGGAGACCAGCUGAGGAAAAUCAAGCUUUACUUUGAGCUUUAGUACAAACAAGAGAAGAUUGUGGGAGUACAGCGUCAGUGCCCACAGAGCAUAUACAUAUGCUCUAUGUAAGAUACAAGAACAAUUCAGAUCCAGCACUAACUUCUGUAAUCCACUAAAAUGCAUGUGGGACUUUUUAAAGUUCCAUUUGGAGACCUUCCCCAAUCUGCCUGUAGUCACCAGGGCUGGUGCAUUUUAUUCACAGCCACAUGGAAGUUACAGACAAACCUGAUUUCAUUUUUUGUUAAGCACACAGAUUUACUGAACGUAGGGGUACACAUGUAAUACCCUUUACAGUUCUACAAGCACUUAACCCGUUUAAACUAAUGCAUAGAAAGGGCUUGAUGGACUUCUUUCCACAUAAAACUGGCAAGAAUGAGAACAGAUGACUUAUAUAAAUUUAAAUACCCUAAGCUGAAUGCAAGAGCAUUGAGAGGCAUCUGGCAGUCCUCCCAAUAAGGCCACUCAGUACCUACAACAUUUUCCACCAAGGGCUCAGAACACUGGGCACAGCCCUCGCUCCUUCUUGCCUCUCGAAUGGAGCCAUACCCACACUGCUGUAUCUGAACAUCAAGAAGCUGCAUGAGGACAGCCUAACUUUCAGCAUAACUUGCUGAGCCCUCAUCUCACAUGCCAAGUUUCAUCCCAGAAUGAAAUUUUAACAGACUUUUAACUUAGUACCAACUGCAUAGCAUUCCAUCUCUGUCAAUGAAAGCACAUGUUGAACGGCUUAAUAACUAAUGGAAGCCCUCAGAAGAAAUGUUACUUGGAGAAUCUUCAAUGAGAGGAACCCAGAGUAAGAUUCAGGUUAAACUGUAAUAACCCCCAACAUUAUUCAGCAUUUCAGAGCAAUGACUCCUAAGCUAUAAAAGCACAGCUGAUAAAAAUUUCCAGGUGAGGCAAAAACAGGUAGACUGAUAAAAGAUUAGGAGAACAGGGCACCUGUGGGUGUGAACCACUAGUCAUUUGCACAAAGUGCAGUUCCUUCAAAUGAAAUGCUCUUUGGCAUGGCACAUGCUAAAGAAAAAGGAGCACAUUGUAUCUACAGGAUUGGGUAUGGGGAGUGUGCUACAUCCUGGAAAAGAGUGAUUCUGAAAAGGAUUUAGAGGUCACAACAAGUAAACAACCGCAGGAGAACACCCAGUGCAGUGUGGCAAGGAUGGCUAAAGCAAUCCCUGGAGGCAUAAACAGGAGGUAGUGGGUAGGCUUGGGAAGGCAUUUUUACUUUUCUUUUUUGCAUUGUUUUCUGAAGGGAUCUUCAAUUGGGUGAAGAAAGAAAGAAAAAGUCAAAUAAAACCAAAAAUGAAUCCCACAUUUUUAAACAGCAAGAGAAUUAGCCACUGGAACAAAACUACCAAUGGAAGGGAGGAGCUUUAACCUCUUGAUAGCUUCAAGAUGGAGGGAUGCUGUCUCUACAUAACUAUGUUCAAAAUAGGGAUGACUGGGCAAAAAUAACAGCAUGUGACACAGAAAAUGUCAAAACAGAUGAUCCAGUGGUCCUUUCUGACCUCAAACCAUCUGAAAGGAAGUUUCUGGUGUUAUAUUUUAUGUUACCUCCAAAACUAAUUAGAAUGUUCUUUCUGAGCAACCUUAACAAAGGGUCCUCUCACAGAAGAUACACAUACAUCCAGUACUGUGCAACCAGUUUCAACGACUCUGAACAUUUCUGAGAGAAAGAAUUCUGAUAUCUGGAGACAGCUUGGAAAUAUACUGGUCAUAUCUUCUGAAAAAUGCACCGCUUUCGUUGUUAUUUAUUCCACUGGCACAUAGCUCAGUGAAAAGCCAUCGCUGAGAGCUCACAGUCAAACAACUCCUAGCUCUGGAAUGUUUGCAUUUCUCACUGGGUCUACUUCUAGAUUCAACUCUGUCUUGUUCUUGGCCAAAUUGGGUGCAACCUGAAAGAAUGCUUUCCACACAGCUAUGAAAAAUCUCUCAGUUCAUAGUUACUGGUUUGUUACACUCAAUCUUUCUUUCUUCUUUUUAUUUUCCUUUGCUUUUUCCCCUCCUCUUCCAUUUACGACUCCUACAACUCAUGGAUCUUGAAAUUUUCUUCAAGCUUCAGGUUCAAGUAUAUAUAAGACAGCACUGAUUUUAUCCUGUACUGUAUUUCCCACCCUCAAGCUCCCAGAAGUUUAAAUACGCCCCCAACACCACUAUAGCUAACAAAAAGCAUAAACAAGAUUUUUAUGGCAACAAAUUGCUAGCUUUUUAGGUUCUACCUGAAGGCUGGAUCUUUGGAGUACGUACCCCUUACACAUUCUGCCGGGCACAGCAUCAGAACUGGCUUCAAGGGAACAGCACCACCUACUGAACCUCUUCUAUGGCUCCCUGCAGCCUACAUUUAGUGGAAGCAAUUCUCUUGACCAGUUACUCAGCAGACACCUCUUCGGAUGAAAUACAUUUUUGCUAAAUAAAUCCCACUCCAAGAUGGCACUGCAAGAAAUAAGAGAGAUUCUGUUGCUAACUCCAGUUUUGAAUUUUCCAUCUACCUGCAGUAAAUGAUUCAGCUUAUAAAUGCAAUUUUUUUUUUUUUUGAUGUCACUAAAACUAUGUUUUAGUUACAGUUACAAGCAAAUGUCACUCAUCUACUCACUCUUAUCUACUGCCUGAAAACAAUAUGAUUUAAGGAGUGUGUCAGCAGUAAGAAAAGACUCUUCCCACUGGAGUAAAAUGUGCAUUUUAAGAAAGGAAGCACUUUCAGAAAGAAGGAGAGGGAGUCUUCUGUUUCUGUAGUUUAUUUUUCUGCUUAAUGAAACAAGGUUUCCAGCUUCUACAAUAGCAGCUGCAAAGGCGCUUCAUUAAUCUCCUGAGUGCCUCUCCCUGCAUACCUGUAGCUGCCCUGCUUUAGCCUCCUAAAAAUUAUCUGUUGGCAUUGCUUCAACAUUUUUAUGGAAAAAAAAGAAGUCUCAAACUAUGUAAAUUUUACACAUUUCAGAAAAAAAAACUCAACCAAGAAUUUCAUUAUCUACUCUUUCUCCCAUAUUCUGAAGAUGUUCAGAAGCACUGAACUCCCAACGUACUCCCAUUAAGAAUAAAUCAAACGACCAUCCAUGAAGACCUGCUCCUACUCAAGUAAAUGACACAUAGUAGAAGACUUUGCUGAAGUUUCAACGCAGAUCACAUCAAACAGCCAAAAGCUCCAGGAAUUAUUAAAAAACAAACAAAAAAACCCAUAUAAUAAUAAUCUUAAAAAAUAAAUCAGAAAUGCUCAAAUGUACCGCAGUAAGACAAGGAUACACUUAGGUAUUUUGAAAAUUCCAUUAAACUUGAGUUUUUCCACCUUAUGCUUGAGUAUUUAAGGUGACUCAGUGAUUGACCUUUGAUAGCUAUUUAUAUUUAUUUACCUAUUUUAUAUAUCUCUAUAUAUAGAUAUACAUUUUCAAUAUCCAAAAUCAAUAUGGAUAUAAAACACUGCCUAUUUUAAGAGAGAUCAACAUUGGUGAUCCAUAGACCUCACCCUCUUGCAUUUCUCAUUUUAAACUCAACAUAGAUAAUGCAAAGGCUUUGAAGGGUUCUGAGACCUGUUAAUGGCAAAGCACUGCUAGGAAAAUCUAGUGACAGGGCAGUGCUCCCAGGUCUGGUUACUAAUUACAUUUGCUUCUCUCUAUUUGCCACCUGCCACAAUUAUCAUAGAAGGGUGGAGUUUCAAAUAGAGCUGACAGGAAAUUAUAUGAUAGAAUUCCCUCCAGACUUUUAGGAAACACCAGUUUUCAUAGCACAAAAUUUGUUGAGAAAAAAAAAAAAGGAAAUAUGGUUAAUCCACAGUUCAGAAAAUUCCCUCAGAGAAUGGGCUAUGUGUGCAAAAACAUUAAAAGUUUUCAGCUGACUCAAAAUAUGGGCAUUUUUAAUUAUAUGAAAGGGAAAAUAAUAUUAUGUUUAAAAUUCAUUUCAUAUAUGGAUUUAAAAAAAAAAAAUCAUUAUCCCACCAAGUGAAAAUUCUGGCUUGUGUUCCACUCAAGGUUUUAGAGAACGAAGGGGAAAUUAAUAUGUACAUUCUAAUCUAUUCAUGCAGUUAUAUUUUAACUCUGCAAUAUAAUCUCUUCCUCUUCACAAUAUCAUAAUAUUUUUCCUAACUUAUCUUCAAGCUCUCAAACUUCUCUUCUGCAUAAAAUAGGACACUCCGUUUUCCACGUGCACCGUGUACACAGUAAGACUGAAAUUAAAGGAAAACUACAAACCCCCCCAAAAUAGAAAAAUACAGGCUUAUUUGACACGAUAUUUUUUUCUCCCCAUUGGCAGACUGUUCUUCAUAAUGGAGUCCCUUAAGUCACAAAGGAAAAAAAUAAGUUCUUCAUUCCAGUGCCCAUUCUAAUCAUAAAGAACAGGAAAAGGGUUAGGUAAUAUCUCUCAAUGUAGUAAAAUGAUCAACGCCAUUCUGUCACCAGGAGAACAAGCCACUUUAUUUUUGAUUCACAGGAAAAAACAAAGCUGAUUAAGGAGCAAUUAGUUCUUCCCAGCAGCCCCAAUAUCCCUCCCCCCCCCUCCCCCCCCCCACAAAAAAAAAGAACAGAAAAAAAGAACAUAAAGAACAGGCGGAUGAACAGAGAGAAGAAAAACAUCCCAUGCAUCAGGUAGAAGUCUGAAAUAUUAUCUAGAAUGACAGCAAAGCCAUUGUUAGUGCUGCCAAAGCACUACAUGUUUGCUAUAUCACCCGAUGUCCUAGAAGAAUAAUAAAGUAAGCAGAUUAGACACAGACUGAUGUCUCUGCACCGCUUCCAUCUCCACCAAACACCAGGGCUGCGCUUCAGGAGGCAGGUGGGCAGGUAGACCCAGAAACAAGCCCAGCGUUUGGCGGGGGCAGCAGAGCAGGCAGGCGCUGCCAACAAGCAGGGCCUGUUUAUUAUUUAACAGUUGGUAUUGCUGGAGGCCUGGCACUGCAAUAGAGCAAUCUCUGUCUCAGCACAAGUAAGCCUGAUUAUGAGCGCUCGGGAGCCAAAUCGUGUUUACCAUAGUCUGCGAGAACCUCGGUGCCCCCAGCAGACAUGGAAACUGACAAGAGCUGCCAUCCAGUAGGAUGGAAGUCUUCCCAAGGCAGAAGCAAAAAAUAAAUUGUGACGGGACAAAGAUGUAUAGUCCAUCAUCUGCAUCGUCACUGACCAGGUCAUGCCCCUCCUUUCCAUUUUAGGAGCUGAUACAUAAGCAUCGAUUCACCCUUUCAAGCAUCCGGUCUGUUUCCUCCCCAGCAAGGAUGGCAUGACACAAGAAAGCACUGUCCCAGUGCAAGUCCUUUCACAUGAGCGGAAAGAUAUCACCGACAAAGAAGUUGGCAUUAGAAGUUUCAUUAGCUACUGUUGGAAAUCAUCUCUGUACGCAAGAAAAGUCUGCAACAUCUCUCUACGCCCACAUCAACUUCCACUAAUCAAUUAAAAAAAAAUAAUAUUUACAGAAAUGCUCACAAAGAUUCAACCACACUCUAAGCCAGUAGUUGUAAAGUAUGGAAACUAUUGAGUAAAUGUAAUUGUCAAAUGCGGUGAGUCAUGACCAGGUGAGAUCUCAAUAGUUUACUGCUAAAGAAAUCAUAAUAAAGAUCAGACCAUCCUGGUGAUAGGAAGCCUUCCGUUGUAGCUUUGUGACUUAAGUGGAAGACCUAAUCACACCUAAUAGCUGUUCCACAAUCUACGCAAAACAAGCUUAAACAAUCGCCUUCUACUUUCCCAUGGACAGGACAAGUUAUCUUUGGCAUUCCUCUGAUUCUGGUGAGGUUCAGAGAGUGGCCUGCUGGGAAACAUACAGGCUAAUGGGAUCUUCACCACCAGCCUACUGUGCUGCCCUGAGAGCUGGUGGGAAGCGGCUUUUCCCUUGUCCCCUUCUUAAAAAGAGGAUAGUGAAAAGCAAUGGAUAUGAAAACUAACACGUGGGUCUUUAAUACUGAUGAAGAGCUUAGCAGUAGUGACACAGUACAUGUCUUUAGAAACACAAAGUUUUAUUAUAGCCUGUGUCAUUACAAUGGACCCCAAGUGGCCUCGUCAGCAGGGGGAUGGCAAAUGGAGAAGUCUGUAGAAACUCAAGGUUAAUUAUCAGACGAAGCCACCCCCAGGCAAGGACAAGCAGGAGCAUGGUAAGGUAGGCUCCAGAACCCCCAGUUCCCUUCUCACCACAGGGAUGGCCCUGAGUGUCGUGCAGAAUCCCAUGCCUUGGGCAAACCAGUGCCUGCAGGGCUUCAGGGCAGCACCAGAAAGCAUUCCUUGGACAGGUGGCCAGGAGCAACAGCCACCUGCUCCUGGACCUCCUCUGGCUGCGUUCCCCAGCUGACUCCAGCCCUAACUGCCUUCAGCUGGCCAACAGCAGCUGCCCCGCUGCUGGAAGCGAGAUGGCUGCAGGCUGCUAGCAGGCAGAGGGGGACAGCAGCUAUGCACUCCUUCCUUCUCAUCCGUAGGCCUCCUCCACAGGCAUCCUCCACAGGCUGCUCACCCUGAGAGCAGAGCCCAACAUGGGCUUCUGCUCAAUCCCUCUUGUCUAGUCAGAAACCCUUCUGCCUCCACACAGAGGGAGGAGAAAGCACACCAAGGAGAGGUCCAGUAGCCUACACCAGCAAAACCAGGGGGCUACGUGGUCAGUUUGCCAGCACUAACAAUGCCUGGGCACAGGGCAGGCAGGGUCCACAACACCUAUGCUAUGGAUGUAUGCAGCAGGCAUCAGUCUGCUGAGCUGCCAAUUUGGCACUGGCAUGUAAUUUGUACUAAAUAACAUUUCAAGAAUGCAACACAAAUAAUGUAAUGAUAGCAAUUAGACCCUUUACCAAGCGGAGCUGUAUAAACCAUGCAGUCCAGUCAUUUCUCAGAAGGUAAAAAGCACUUGACUAAGGAACCCGCACCUUGACAGGCACUAGAGGUGUGCAGGUAUAUAUAAUAAUUGCAUUCCUUGUGUAUUAAUGUUUGCAUAUAAGAAAUGCAUGCUGAGCUAGCAUAACACCUCCUUCCUCAAAUAAUAACUAAGUUUCAUACUGUGCCUGAAGUGCUCUUUAUAUAGUACGCAGAAAUGGGUUAUGUAAAGAUUAGAGCUGUGAGAGCUGUUCGUAACGUAACUGAAAAGCCAGUAACAAAAUCCGUCGCAGCCUAGGCUUCCCCUGCACAAAACUCAGGCCAGCUUUACAGAAAGGCCUGUGCAUUUUUUUGAGGUUUUUUUUACACUGAAAUCUUACCGAUCUCAGGCCCAGAAAGGGAAAGGAAAAUAGGAAGAGAAUAACAAAAUUGGAAUGGGAGAGUCUGGAAAAAGAAAAAGGUAAAAAGCAGGAGCAGUAUGAUCACUUCCCUUUUUUCUAUACAGCCACCCUUCUUUUCCAAGCUGCAAAGGGGGGAAAUAGCCCCUGACUUUUAGAGAACACAUCUUGUUAUGUGGGAGCCACAAUAUAACGUAUGCAGUGAGGGGUGCUUCGAUGCUUCUGUAAGUACGUGCAUUGUUACUAGGAGAUGACUAGAUGUGGUAUCAGGGUAAUAUUCCACCAUUGUGUGGUGCUUUCCCAUCUGAUGUUUCCCCCGUUUAAAAAAAAAAAAAAACCUAAUAAAAAAGAAAAUUAAAAAAGAUACAAUAAUUGUUACUGCACACUCUAAUGAAUUAUUGUGUUCGAGGUUCCUACAAAAAAAGUAAUAUUAUACUCGGCUUAUGUUUUAAUUGAUUUAUUAAUAUUUUAUCACAGGAAUGUAAUUUAAGCUCCUCAUGAUUUAGAUCUCAUAAACCUUUAGCAUUUUGCAAAUUCAAAUUCCAAUUUAAAGCCAGGGCGAGCAAUUAACUUUUCUAUCAUCUUGUCAGGGGAGAAGGUUCGUGUUUAAUUUGAGACAAAGUGACAGAAAUAUAUAUACACUGUAUGUAUUACUCCAAUUUAAUUUAUGAGUCAGCACCAUCCACCUUCCAAAUGUAGAUAUAAUGGAAGGGGAGGGAAAGAGGGGGAAGACCCUGGCAUUGUGGCACUUGCUGUGAGAUCUGCCCCAAAUUCGUUGUGCAAAACAACAUCCCUGGUUUAUUGAGACACUGGGCUAGAUUGAUUACAGCCCUGUUUUCAAUCCUUUUGUUUUAAUUUCUAUUCACUCAUCACUUUCUCAUAUAAAGCACGUUCUCUCAAAUGUCAGCUCACAGUUCCCAGCCAGCGAUGGGCAGUUGAUGCCACAGCAGGUUCUCCAAUAGCCUGUCCUAUUCGCUUCGCUUCCUGCCCCCAGCAGUCCUCCUAACAGGUAGACACCAGGCAAAGAAAGGUCCCCGGAGGAUUGAUACGGGUUAAUACCUGUUGGGCCAAGUCCUGCAGUCCUCACCGAAGUAGCAGCCUCACUGAAGCCUGUGCCACGUUACUUUGAUUAAGGAGAAAACAGAAAGAGACGGUGCUGCUUAACUCUCACUGUUAUUAUUCCCCACUUCAAAGAACAUUCCAGCCUCUUUACGUGUAACGAAUAAAACCUGCAGCUUAAAUU